AUAGCAAACAGUUUGGAUCCUGAUGAGAUGCCACGUUUUGUUUGCAAAGGCCUUCAAAACUCGGUUCCAGCACUGAAAGAGUUAAAUUUCAGUCAACUUCAAUUCUAAGGCGGAUGUUGGAGUGACAAUAAUGCCAGACACAGGCCAGAAGUCAGGACUGUUUACAUCAUUUGGGAGUAAAAACACCCUGAAUAGUCCGAAAACUAGUCAUAGUUUUACCAGAUUCCUAGAGUAAAAACUUCAACCUAUGGAAGAGAGUGUUAGGUAUGAUGGAUGACCCAACGCCCACCAAAAGGCCACGACUGCUCUCGGAGACCAUUUCCUACAUUAUGAAGCCAAAACGAGCACCCACAGUGGAUGUCAAGCCAUCACAGCAGCUACAGGGGUAUGGUAAACCUUGACGAUCAAAUGAGCAGUGUUCUGGGAAAAUAGGGCUUAAUGCAUGUGCGUAAGUAUCGUCCCAGAUGAGCCUUUGCAGUCCGCACAGGCUAAUCAGGGACGACACUUCCCAGUUUUAUUGAAUUUUUAUGCCCCCGGUAGGGUGGCAUAUAGCAGUUGAACUGUCCGUCAGUCCGUCAGUAUGUGCGUCGGUGCGAAAACUUUUACAUUGCCCAUAACUAUUGCAAUAUAGAAGAUAGCAACUUGAUAUUUUGCAUGCACGUGUAUCUCAUGGAUCUGCACAAUC